UCUGGAGCACUCCUGGAGGGGAAGGCAUCGCGGUUUUCAGGUGACCUGCACAAGGAAAGAAAAGCCCCUUAGCAUGUCGCGUCCUCUACUCCCCAUUCUAGCCGCCUGGAGAACACAUCCAUUAUGCAUCAUUUCUCCCGGUGCUUUCUCCAUCCGCCAAUUACGGAGGGAUGUAACAGUUUAGAGGAAAAGGCGCCCAAGUGUGGGACACUGAUCCGAGCUGGGGCUGCAGGGGGAAUAUUCCCACUUCGUAUCCCAUUAACCAUCUCUCAGCGUCUGGGAUAAAGUUACAGUACCUGGAGAGCAGCUGUGAGUUUGUGCAGUUCUGCCGCCCACUCUUAGACCUGAAUUCCCCACCAUGGUCUCUCUCACGUACAAGGGGGUGUUGCGCCAUGGUACACAUUGUACAUGGAUUCCAUCUGCCUUCUGAAAGGGGGUAUUCAUGUUCAAAUGGCCAGGGGUGCAUAACAUAUCAGAGGAAACAGCUUGUAAUGACUCAGCACUGGCAAAUACCUGCUUUACCCACUGUCUCCUGCCCCGCGAAGGUGGUCCCAACUUGGGUUUCAGAGAAUGCACUUCCAGAGCCGAGUAUUGUCUUGACUAAACGGGAUUUUUCAGAGUGUAUAGUGUUAAGGCGUUUCUUGACUAUUGACCUGAAACUGAAAUCAAAUGUCAUAGACUUUGAGUGUUAGUGAGCAAGUUUGAUGGAGAUAAAACUGGACAAGAUUUUGGCUGUGGAAGUGCCAUAUCCCCAGAUAGAGCCAUGCUUUGCACGAUGGUCCCAUUAAUCCCUGGCCUUUGGGGUGCAGUUAAUGAGGGUCAGUCGCUGGUUGCCCUGUACCAUUCCUCAACAGUCUCCUAAGACUUGGGGCUUGCUGUCAGAGGGAAGUACAAGCAGGCUAGCUCUCUGGUGUGGGGUAAAGUUAGUGAUGUGGUUACAAGAGAGGGCUGUUCAAACUCAGCUCGGUUCCUGGGGUGGCAGACUUAACAGGGCUUCUGAAAGUCAAAUGCAUUUUCUUUGCUCUGUGUCAGAUGAGAGGCGUUUAGAUCCCAGUUCCUGCCUGCAUCCAUGACAUGUAUGCUGUCGGUAAGCCCUGUAGCCAAAAGCACGUUUUCUUUUCCGUAUAGAUUUUUGUUUUACAAAAUGCACUUGUAGUUCGAACACAUAGUUGUAGACAGUACCUGUGGCCUUUGCAGUUUUGGAAUCAGGGAGUGAUCCUGUCUUGGGGUGUGGGGAAGCAUGUCAGUAUAUCAGAGUGUCCUUGGAGGAGUUUGACUGUUAUUAAAACAGAGACAUGUAUUACUAAGGCGCAAAUGCACAGUAAUAAAAAUACCUGUAGUUCUGUACUACAGCAUAUGCAAAGUAUGUGAUACCUAAACCAGGGCUGUGUUUAUCAACAGCUGCCUCCAGUUUUUAACAGUUUGCCUCAAACCAAUUUUGCUCAAUAGAGUGGAUUAUUCAUGUUCCAUAUAAUAGUGUCUACUGUUGGCAAAAGCUGAAUUCUUUGAAGUGUACAGAGUGUUAUGGGUUUGGGAAUUUGUGGACACGGAUCUGGAAGCUCACCAUUUAUAAAUUAUUUUACAUCUAGGGAAAAAAAAAUACCAAAAGAACUUUUCAUACCACAAAUGAUAAAGGCAUGGGCCUAGUUUUAGCUUGCAAUGGUUUAAGGCUUUUGGAAAGAAAUGAAGCUGGGCUUCGAUCAAGUGAGUGGCCUAAGCCCCUUUACGAAGUUAGAAAGCAGAGGACUGGUGGAUACUAGUGGCAGGGCUGGCGCUGGGAGACAGGAAGUUGACUGUGAUACCAGAAUUGGUGAGGAAUUGAGUCCACCUGCUGGGGGCCUCUCGGCAUUUCCAGCCUGGGCGGAGGGAAAGCCUGGUUCGAGGCGUAUGGUAACCGGAGUCAACAGGUGACUGGCAGAAAGCAGAUGGAGGCCCAGGAAAGGAGUGGCUUAGGAAAUUGGAUUCAUUAUGAUUACUAAGAGUCGAGGCAUCAGUUGCUCAGGACUCUGCCUUACCCGGCUGAUCUCGGCUCUCCAUUGCCACCUGAACCUCAUGAAGAUGAAUAGUUUGCUUGCCAUGAAUUGGAUUGCAAUGGCUUUUGCUCUUUCUGGCUGCUCCUGAUUUUCUUUUUCAUCUGUUAUUUGGAAGGUAGAAUUAAAAGCUGUGGUACCCUCAGUGAUGGGAGACUUCUUCAUGGCUAAUUUGAGAAGGAAACAUUGUAGAAGGUUUUCCAGAAAGGCUUUCUGGAAACCUGAGAACCUGUGUUUGUAGGCAGUCACACCCACCGGGUCCACGUGCAAUAGGUGAUCAUGCACACGGGGUCUAUGUGCAAGGUGUAUGUUCUCUGGGAUCUUUACACUGUCAAUCAGCCUGUCCCUCUGAGGAAGCAUUUUCAGAUACCUGGUGAAGGGCACACCUGGGGGCCCUGCUUACUUUCAGGAAGAGAAGGGUAACAGCAGAUUCUCUGCCUAUGAUAUUAUUUCCUAUUUGAUUUCCAAGUCUAUGUCAUUUACUAUGACAUUUACUACCUUAUUAUUUCAUCUUCCCAGGUGCCUUUUUUUUUCUUUAAUAUUUGGAGGCUUCAUUUCGCUUCUCCGUUUUCUUUCUGAAAAGACAGAUGACCUAGUGUCUUUGCUGAAGCUGUAGAACUUCCCGACUGUAGAAAUGAAGCAGGAAGUCACCUGUGAUUUGAGAAGCACCUUUGAAAAGCUGGACUCUGUGUGUGUCUGUGUCUGUUUUCCCUUAAGAACCUGCACAUGCUCAAGGUAGACCCACAUGGGAGAAAACCACCCUUUGUUAAGCGAGGCAGGGGACAGGCAACUUUUGGCCUGGGGGUCGGGUCUCCUGGGGCAGUGCAGAAGGGCUGAGAGCCUGAUGCCUAGACUCGAUGGUAAUCAUGAUGUAGAUAAGGUGACUCCCGUGCAACCCGGGCCAGCUGUGGAUUCUGAAAUCUCUUACCCUUGCCAGCGAUUAACUGGAAAUAGCCAGCAGUCACAGGGAUGGUCUCUGGUAGUCACUUAAACCUCUGACUGGUUUGGAAAAAAAAUUUUUUUUUCUGCCUAAGAAGAGGGGACCCAUUCCAUUUGAACAUCACUGUGUGCAGACGAGAGCCACUGUGUGCAGACGAGAGAAUGCUAUUUAAUUUUCCUCUCCUUGGGUCUUUGCUUUGGGUGGCUCCAGUCUGCACUGACCUACUUGCGAGGAUGUAACAUCUGUUAAACUCUUGGGCUGUUUGGAGAAGACACAGGCCUGUGGAAACUGCAUGGAGAGAAAGGUGUAUUGAGUGCACUUGAUGGAGUUUGGUGGAGACCUGCUGGGAUAUUCCAAGCCGUUCACUGAGGUUUUAGGUACCUUCCAAAGAGGGCGACCCAGAGGCCUCUGUGCAGCGGCCCUGCCUUGCUGAUCAAUUUCUCAACAUUUAAAUUCACCUUUUUGCUGGCUGCCUGAACAGUCUCGUUCUGAAACUGCUGUGGUGGAGAUGCAUAUAAAUAGAUCAAGAAGUCCUUGAGCAGUUCUGCAGCUUUGCCGGCUGCAGCUGGGGAGGUCUGCCUUGCUGCUGCUGGACUCAUAGUGGCGCGUGGAGCCAGCAGCCCCUGGGCUCAGUCCAAAGGCAGCCCGUGGAACUUGUGAGAUGCACAGGUGGAUUGAUGGCCUAACGGGCCUGUGUCCCGAGGUUGGCCUUGGCCUGCGUGGGAGCCCCGAUCUUACGUCUGUGUGGAAGGCUCUAUGUUUGUGAAUUACUUGCAUCUUCAGCAGAAUCAGGGCCCAGAACUAAGUCACUUACCUAAAUGUACUCCAGAGCUGCCAACAGUAGCCAGCCGGCGUGAGCAGGUAAACAGGACGAGUUUUAUUUGGGGACAUAAUGAUUAGAAACAUGUAUAAUUAAAAAUAAUGUUUCGGUGGAUGCUGGGGGUGGAAAACACUCACUUCUCUCACUGGUUUUAAAGCAUCCCUCUUCUUCUUUUUAUCUCUUAAAUAGAAUUGCUUCCUGAUAGGAAACACUACCUAUCCUUAAUCUAGUGAAUAGAUAAAAAUAUAUGCAUUUAUAUUUAUCUGCCUUCUGACACUUUGGAUUUCCUUGGGGAAUGUUUUCGUCAUUUAAGAAUAAUAGUACCAACGUAGCCAAUUAAAAAUAACCCCAGGGUCCUGGCACCCCAAGGCCAUCAGGGAUACAAUUCCAAGUGGCAAGUGAAACAUUUUAGAUCCUUUGCUUUAAGAAAGCUGAGAGUUCUCGCUGAGGUCUGUCACCUUUGUGGUUGCCUUUCUCUCUGUACCAGCUGAGAACAGGGAGGGUCACGGUGGUCAGCUCAGCUCUGUCGCCUGCUGCUCAUUCAUUUUUAUUCUGACCUCCCUGAGCUGGCCCCUGACCCCAACAGAACCAGGCUUUGCCAGCCUGGCAGGAUGUCACAGUCCGGUCUGUGAGACUCCGGUGAGGGCGUGCUCCUGGGAGUCCAAACCCGGAUCACUGUGGAGUGGGACUCUGUGUCAGGCUUAUGCCACGGGCACCGUUCACAGCUUUAUCCAGCUCCCCUCUGCUGGCUUCCCACCGUCCUUGUUCAGGGGUCAAGGCAGUGAGUCCUUACCUCCUACAGGCCCUAACAAUCCAAUCCCAUCCUUCACCACAGAUGGCAUGGUGAUUGUUGCUGUCUGGGACCCAUCCUGAGCUCUAUUAUAUCUGAUCUCAGAGUGGGAGUGAGGGGGUGGGCUCUUUGUGUUUAUUUAAACCUUUGCUUCCAUGGGGCUCAUAGGGAAGUAGGGUCAUUCUUAAACAUUUUGGGCAUCUCAGAUGUUAGACCACCAUAAGGUGGUCUUUUCUCCCUUAGAUGUAGAAAGAAGUGAUGUGUAUUAAAGAGAAGGAGGCCUUGACAGUUAUCCUUGGGUGGGGAGCUGGACUUAAAGGUGGACUUAGAGGGAAGGUGGAUGAAUAUAAGUGUAUUUCUGUGGGUGUUUCUGAAAGAAGGACCCAGGUGUGGUAAGCAGUCUCCUGGGACUGCCGGAACAUGUCAUCACAAACUGAGUGGCUUCAAGCAACAGGUUUCUUUUCUCACAGUCCUGGAGCCAGAAGUCUGAAAUCAAGGCGGCAGCACCACCCUUCCUCUGAGACACUGGGAAGAAUCCUCUCUUGCUUCUUCCUCGCUUCUGCUUCUGGAGGUGGCCCUUGAUGCCUGGCGUCUCUUAGCUUGCAGCUGUACCCGCUAAUGUAUGACUCUGAGGUCACAUGGCAUUUCUCCUCUGUUUGUUCCCCUCCUCCUCUUUAUAAGGUAGUAGUGGAUGAGGACCUUACCCUAAUACCGCAUCUGACCUUAAUUACAUCUCUUAAGACUUUGUUUCCUAAUAAGGUCACUUCACAGAUCCCAGGAGUUAGGUCUUUACCAUGUCUUUUGCAGGAGGGGGACGCAUUCAACCCAUUAGUUGAACCCAUUGCUUCCCAAGUGGCUUCGUAGUAAAGAAUCUGCCUGCCAAUGUAGGAGAUGCAAGAGGCACAGGUUCAAUCCCUGGGUUGGGAAGAUCUGCUGGAGGCAGAAAUGGCAACCCACU